UGAGCUGUGUCCAAUGUCCUGAAAAGAGAAUGAAAUGGGGUAUCAUAUCUCCCAUCACAUAGGUCAAUACCCCCCACAUAACUAACAAUUCUCCUCCUCUGGGAAUCUCCAUUAGGCAUUGCAGAGUCCACCACCACAAUUUUCUGGUGAUGAGUGAACAUGGUAGAGAUGGAUAGAUCCUGAACUAUACUUCCACCAUCAUCAGGAUUUCGGGGACACAAAAUACAAUGUACAUCAGUAUUCUGGAAGUAAUGUUCUGUUUCUUCAUCAUGAGUGGCCAUCAGUCC
rnacentral:misc_RNA from 1 species